rnacentral:tRNA from 1 species
GGGAAUGUGGCUCAGUGGCAGAGUGCUUGCCUAACAUGCAUGAAGCCCUGGGUUUAAUUCCUCAGUACCA